rnacentral:tRNA from 1 species
AGCAAAUAAGCUUAUAUAGCGUUUCACUUACACUGAAGAAAAUCUAAAUCAUAUU